GUGUAUGGGAGAUGUUAUACCCCCUGUGACUAUUAAAUCCUACCCUAACCAGAAACUGUGGAUAGAUGGCAACAAUCGCACAAAACUGAAAGCGCAAACUACCACAUUUAACCAUGGCAAGGUGACUGGGAAUAUGGCCGAACACAAACAGUGUAGUUAUUCCCUCCGUAAGGCAAUCAAAUAGACAAAAUGUCAGUAUAGUGAAAGCGGAGUUGCAAUUCAACGGCUCAGACACGUGACGUAUGUGGCAGGGUCUACAGACUAUCAUGGACUACAAAGGGAAAACCAGCCACGUUGUGGACACCGACGUCUUGCUUCCAGACAAGCUAAACACCUUCGUCCACUUUGAGGAUAACUCUGCCACCGACACGGCCCGCUACCAAGGACUGUGGGCUCUCCUCCGUGGCCGACACGCGUAAGACAUUUAAGAGUGUUAACCCUGCCAGCCCAGACGGAAUCCCAAGCCGCGUCCUCAGAUCAUGCCCAGACCAGCUGGAGUGUUUACAGACAUCUCUCCCUAUCCCAGUCUGCUGUCUGCACUUGCUUCAAGAUGUCCACCAUUGUUCCUCUACCCAAGAAAGCAAAGGUAACUGAACUAAAUGACUAUCGCCCCGUAGCACUCACUUCUGUCAUCAUGAAGUGCUUUGAGAGGCUAGUUAAGGACCACCCCACUACCUUACAUGACACCCUAGACUCACUUCAAUUUGCUUACCGCCCCAAUAGAUACACAGACGAUGCAAUCGCCAUUGCACUGCCCUAUCCCAUCUCCACUGGAUGUCAUAAGGUGAAAGCACCAAUUUGUAAGUCGCUCUGGAUAAGAGCGUCUGCUAAAUGACUUAAAUGUAAAAUGUAAAUGGACAAAAAUAAUAUCUAUGUAAGAAUGCUGUUCAUUGACUCUAGCUCAGCAUUCAAUACCAGUACCCUCCAAGCUCAUUAUUAACUCGAGGCCCUGGGUCUGAACCUCGCCCUGUGCAACUGGAUCCUGGACUUCCUGACAGGCCGCCCCCAGGUGGUGAAGGUAGAAAAAACCUCCACUUCACUGAUCCUCAACACAGGGGCCCCACAACUCCAACUCAAUCAACAAGUUUGCAGACGAGAACAGCAGUAGGCCUGACUACCAACAAUGACGAGAUAGUGGUGCGGUCUGCUCAAUGCAUCACCAGGGGCAAACUACCUUCUCUCCAGGACACCUACAGCACCCAAUGUCACAGGAAGGCCAAAAAGAUCAUCAUGGACAACAACCUCCUGAGCCACUGCCUGUUCACCCCACUAUCAUCCAGAUCGCGAGGACCUGAGCUCUAGGACCAUGCCUCAGGACUACCUGGCAUGAUGACUCCUAUCCCCAAUCCACCUGGCCGUGCUGCUGCUCCAGUUUCAACUGUUCUGCCUGCGGCCAUGGAAUCCUGACCUGUUCACCGACGUGCUACCUGUCCCAGACCUAUUAUUUGACCAUGCUGGUAAUUCAUGAGCAUUUGAACAUCUUGGCCCUGUUCUGUUAUAAUCUCCACCUGGCACAGCCAGAAGAGGACUGGCCACCCCUCAUAGCCUGGUUCUUCUCUAGGUUUCUUCCUAGGUUUUGGCCUUUCUAGGGAGUUUUUCCUAGCCAACGUGCUUCAACACCCGCAUUGCUUGCUGUUUGGGGUUUUAGGCUGGGUUUCUGUACAGCACUUUGAGAUAUCAGCUGAUGUUCGAAGGGCUAUAUAAAUACAUUUGAUUUGAA